rnacentral:RNase_P_RNA from 1 species
GCGGGGGGCCGGGCGGCCGCGGAAGGCGACUUCCGAGGAAAGUCCGGACUCCACGAAGCGACGGUGCCGGGUAACGCCCGGACGGCGAAAGCCGAUGGAAAGCGCCACAGAAAACAAACCACCGGGGAUCCGUCCCCGGCCAGGGUGAAACGGUGGGGUAAGAGCCCACCGGGGAGGCGGCAACGUCUCCCGCACGGCAAGCCCCACCGGGAGCAAUGCCGAAUAGGGACCGCGCGCGUCUGCGACGGCGCAGGGACGCUUCGUCCCGGCGGUCCGGGUUGGCAGCUCGAGGCCGCGAAGCAAUUCGCGGUCCAGAUGAAUGGUCGCCACCGAAGGGAACCUUCGGGACAAAAUCCGGCUUACAGGCCCCCCGCACAU